GAUUAAUAGUCCGUAGAUGGAAGCAGGGACGGAGCCACUUGAAGGGCUGUCUGGGCUGUAGCCCAAGGGAAAAAUUGGGCUAAAAACUGCCAAGUAUGGGUAUAGCCCAAAAAAAAAAAAAAAUUCAUACUUUGCAUCUCUGGAUUCCCGACUCCUGCAGUCCUGCUCGGCUGCUCCAGUGCUCCUUGAACUCUUAAUUCUCAUCCCUCAGUGCAGCUGUCCCCAUUUUGCUUCCCCUUCCAGAGUUCCAGCCUUCCAGGUUCGAUAGUGAGUCCUGCAGUCCGCCAGUCCGCCGAGCCACCUCCUCCGCCACCGAGCCACCUCCACAGCUCCACUGCGAGUCUGCGACUUCCGCAGUUUCAAGGCUUCAAUCCAGAUGCCAGGGACGUAUUUUUGUUGAAUGUUUGAUAAUUGAAUAAAUUGAUUGUCAUUGCUGAUGGAGUGAUGGGUAAUGGGUUGUUGAUGAAUGAUGAAUUGAUGAUGGGUUGAUACUUGAUAAUUGGGAAUGGAUCUCUGUAUCGGGUUGUUGCUGUUACAAUGAUUAAGGUUGAUAAUUGGGAAUGGGUUGAUGAGAUUCAUUGAUAUGAUGCAGGUUUUGCU